CCGUUGCCGAGAUGCUUGUCUGCGACGGAUGCCCGAAAGAGACAAACUUUGCUGCCUGGCUCAAGGCAGUUUAAAUGUGAAGAACGUGAGUCUUCUAUGUUGCACACUCCUCCAGCGCUCUCUGCUGCUGAAGUGCAGAGCCUCGUUCCCAUAGACAGCAAAGCCCAACACUCCAAGGAAGAACAUCCGCACUGAGCCGAAGAAGAGAGUGUGGAACUGGCCGAUCACGGAUUCCACGAGCGGGUGAAGGGAUUGCGCUGUAUAUGCAUCACUUGGGGUGCUAGACGGCAUAUAGAUUUGGAGCUCAUCAGCAGCCAUCUUAUCAGACUUAAGGCCCACUCGACAAGAGAGAGCUGGAGUGAAGCUGAGCAAAGCCCCAGGAUUUAUGGACUGCUACACCCAGGGUAUAACUUCCGAUUGCUGGUGGCAGAUCGUGGAGUAAGAUUGCUCUGGACUUCUCAGCUGCUCCUGGAUGAACUAGAUAGAGCUCAGGUGUGUUGGUACUGGUAACCAGUGGUCCUCUGAUUGUCCUGGGAGGAAACUGUAGCAUUGCUGGGAGCAGGGAAAGAUGGAGUCCCUGUUUGUGGCUGCUUAGACAUAGGAAAAGGAUACCACACUAAUUGGGACUUAUGAGGACUAGAAAUGACGGGUUGAUUCUCAAAUGCCUCAUGUUUAUUAUGAUUUUACUUACAUUUUUCAGGUAUUUUGGACAGUCUAUUUUUUUGUACUAUUGACGUCUGCAUGUGAUCCCCAUGGGUCUGCUGGCUUCAGUUACCUCCACAUUGUUUUUUAAAAGGGAAAAUACUUUGCACUAUUGUCUGAAUGUUCGUAUCCCUCCAAUAUUCAUAUGUGGACACUUAAUCAGUAUCAGGUAGUAUAGAUAGGACCUUGAAAUGAUGAGUAGGUCACAAGAGACAAGGCAAUAAUACUCUUAUUAAAGAAGAGUAUCAGUCUCUAAUACCGUAUGAGAAUACAGAGGGAUAAUCUAGUGCAUGAUAUUUUGUUAUCAUAGCAAAGUUGACUAAUAUAUUCAGAGAGGAUUGACAAGGCACAAUUUAAAAGAUGCCCUGAUUCCACAGAGAUAUACCCCCCAAUAUAUUAAUAGAAUAUAACUUAUCAGUGUAUUAAACAAGAGUGCUUUUAUGUAACAAUUAAUGAACCUAGGUUGUAAUAGUACAGACCACACAGAGACCAUACAUUAGGACUCAUUCUUAGUGGCUUGUGUUAUAUACAUUGGGCAUGGUUAUUGUUAUGGUAUUAUUGUACAGAUUAUUUUUUAACUAACCUAAAAUCCUCUGUACUUUGAAUAUUCAGAUUUCACCUCACCCCAAAACUGGCAGCCACUGGCAUCUGCAUCUUUAUUGCCUCUGGUUUUGCCCUUUGAAGAAUGUGCUAUGCUUAGAAUAAUAUGGCUGCAUCCUUCUCAGGUUACCUAUGUUCACCUAGCUAUAUGUAUCUGGAUCUUUUCACAGGUUAGAGCUUAAUUUUUGCAUUGAAUACCAUCCAUAGUUCGGUCUAUCAUAGUUUACUUUUGUCCCAUUGACUUGUAGAAAGACAUCUUGACUGUUUCCAAAAUUUGACAAUAGUAAGUCCUAUGUAUGCAUCCAUGGGCAGGUGUGUGUGUGUGUGUGUGUGUGUGUGUGUGUGUGUGUGUGUGUGUGUGUGAAUAUUGUUGUAGUUUGAAUAUGCUUGUCCCAUGGGAAGUUGUUUUAUUAAAAAGUGUUGUUAGAGGAAGUGAGUCAUUGUGAGGGUGGACUUUGAGGUCUCUAUGCCACCCAGGAUGGAAAGAGAGCCUCCUCCUGGCUUCCUACAGAAGAGAAUCUCUCCUUGUGGCUGCCUUCAGAUCAAGACGUAGAACUCUCGACUUUUCCAGCACCAUGUCUGUCUGCACACAGCCAUGCUUCCUGCCAUUAUGAUAACGGACUGAGUCCCUGACAUUGUAAACCAGCCUCGAUUGAGUGCUUUCCUUUAGAAGGGUUGCCUUGGUCUUGGUGACACUUCACAGCAAUGGGAAUCCUCACUAAGACAGACAUAUUUUCUUGAUAUGCUCAUUGUAGUUUAAAAUGUGGUAAACCCAAAGAAAGAAAGCCACGUUGAACUUAGAUUGCACAGAAAAUAAUUUAUUAGAGAUACUACUUGGUGGAAGUGUAGUCUUACGUAUUAAUAAGACCGGUUGAGUUCCCACAUUUCAGACUAGAAGGCACGUAUAUUCGGAUUAGAGCAAAAGUGAUAUUUUAGUUUGAGUGUAGGUACAUAGUGUGUUGUAAGCUAAUAAUAAUGAAAGAGUCACCCCUCCGUACCAGCAGUCUUGGUUAUAAUGCUCAAUAUCCUGCUCUAAAAGUUUGUAUGGUUUGUUGGAAAACUAAUCAGGAAUAACUAGGGACAGUCAUGGCAGCUAGAAGUCAAAAUGACAGCAGUCAGUCAAGCCGAAUCUACAGAGCACAUAUUCAGGUUUGCAAGAAACUGCCAGGCUAUGUUCUGUAUUUUUGUUUUAUAUAUUUCGUAACCUUGAAUGAGGAAUCAUGUUACUAAUUCUCAUUAGUAUUUAGUGCUA